rnacentral:rRNA from 1 species
UGCGGGGGGGGCAAGCGUUGUUCGGAAUUACUGGGCGUAAAGGGCUCGUAGGUGGCCAACUAAGUCAGACGUGAAAUCCCUCGGCUUAACCGGGGAACUGCGUCUGAUACUGGAUGGCUUGAGUUUGGGAGAGGGACGCGGAAUUCCAGGUGUAGCGGUGAAAUGCGUAGAUAUCUGGAGGAACACCGGUGGCGAAGGCGGCGUCCUGGACCAACACUGACACUGAGGAGCGAAAGCCAGGGGAGCAAACGGG